GACGAACCGUGCGAACGUUAUUCGGAAUCACUGGGCUUAAAGCGCGUGUAGGCGGGGCGGCACGUCGGUCGCUGAAAGCCCCCGGCUCAACCGGGGAACGGGCGCCGAUACGACCGCCCUCGAGGGACGUAGGGGGACCUGGAACUUCCGGUGGAGCGGUGAAAUGCAUUGAGAUCGGAAAGAACACCAACGGCGAAAGCACUCUGCUGGGCCGACACUGACACUGAGAGACGAAAGCUAGGGGAGCAAAUGGG
rnacentral:rRNA from 1 species